CUCCGAGUCCCGCCCGCUUCUCACCACGGCAAGAUGGCGGCGCCCGUGCAGGGGGAGGCGGCGUGGAACCGGUGGCGCGUGCCGUGGCCUGCGAGCAGCGCUACGGUGGCCCUGCCGGCCCAACACCCGGCAGUGAGAUGCCUUCCAGCUGUUGUUAAAGGAUGUUACAAGGUCAGCAUGUUGCUAAAGAGUAAAGCUGUGGAUGCAGAAGGAAAAGUUUUACAUUCGAUCCUUUAUGGUUUCCACAACAGAAUGGCUCACCAUAAAACCUAUUUGUCUCUGAAACAGGUAGAACAAUGCUUAAAGCGUUUAAAUCAGAUGAACUUGAUGGGCUCCAUUCAAGAUCUGGCGGAGUUGUGUCCCAAGAAAAGUAAAUCUGAAAAUGCAGGGAAGUGCUUAGUUCCCAGCCAGCCUGUGACAGAAGUGGUGGCGGUGAAGAUCUUGGGAGGCUGCAAGCUCUUGCUGCGCUUACUGGAGUGUUGCUGCAAAGCAUUUGUCCUGUCUGUUAAGCAUCUGUGUUUGGAAGAAUACAUCCUCUUGAACACUGUGGUUUUGGGAUUGUUGAGCAGAUUAUGGAUUCUCUAUAGGUGUGUAUUACAAAGCCUCAUUUCUUUAUAUGGGGUGUUGUCUGGGUUGCUGCAGGAGGUGUCCAGGACCCAGCAGAUGCCUUAUAUUAAGGGGUUUACCUUCCCUUCUGAAAUCACUGAGUUUCUGGGACCCCUUUAUUUGGAGAUUAAGAAAAGACCUAAAGUACUUGCAACAAAAAAGGCAACUGGAUGGCUGAACAAACUGUUUGCAGGGCCUGCAGCAGCAUCCAGAUGCAGUAAAGAGAGAGGUCCGGCAGCUCCCACAAGGUGCAGCAAGAAGAUGACCAACAUCCAGCACCCCAUUGAUAUUGGGAAGCCGGUUCUGGUGAAGAGAGCUAACCGAGGGAAGCAGUUGGGAUUUGACAUCAAGGCCUUACGUAGGCAACUGAAACCGAGAGUCCAAGAGGAUGUAGACUUCAGGCUAACACUUACUGAUGCAAAAGCAGUGAGAUCUCAGCAUGCCAAAUCCCUUGUGUUGCGGUUUAGAGAAGCCUGCUCUUUCGGAGAACUGUCUGAAGCACUCAAAACAGCCAUUCUCUGCUGCAAAAGCAAAAAGUUCAAGUCAGAAGCUUUCUUUCUGGGAACAAAACUUUUGAAAAGCAAACGGCUGCAGCAUGUGGAGGCUCAGGGCUGCAGCUUACAGAAAAAACUGGGCUGUGUUAAAGCAUCUAUCUGCAAAUACCUUCUCUCUGGCUUGCAAAAGGCACAUUGGCCAAAGCAGUACCGCAGAGCAAGUUCCUGGCAGCAAAGGAAGAUCAAACUGUCCAGGUCAAAAUCUGUCUCAAAGAAGACUCCAGAGUUUGUUCAACAAAACACUUCCAGCCUUUUUGAAGACAGGAUGCCUGGUGCUGUGUCCGUCUUUCCUUCUCAGCAGUGUGAGCAUUCACUUCACCUAAGAAAAGCAGGAGACUGUAGUGCUACCAGGCAUGUUGAAGAACAAGACAAAGUGGUGACCUCUGAACCUGUGGCGCUGGAAAGAAACCCUGGGCCUACAGUGAAAGGGACUAGUGAGAACGAUGAUAUUGAUGACAUUUUUGCAGCAAUGGGUGUAUAACUCUGGUGUGGUGAUGUGGGGGAAAAGUACAAGGGCUCUAGUCCUACUGCAUGAUGAUGAGACCUGUGGUAUAAGUGCUGCAAUCACAGAAUGUAGCAUAAAACACCAUGUUAGAAACCAACUAGAGGACAAGAUUCCUCUAGCAUGUGGAAAGAGCUGGGCCACCUGCUUCUGGCUAUCAAAGAAACGCCUCCCUUGCCCUGAGCGAAGAUUUAAAAUACUUUCUAUGCAUCACAGCAGCGUAAGCACGGAGGAGGUGACCUGGUACAGCAGUUCCCAUGAUGCCAUUGAAAUCUUGCCUUUAGCACAAUGCCCCAGUGAUCUGUUUUCACUUAGAAGAAUGUUGGGGGUGUAUGGAAUACUCUGUUAUACAGCACCUACAAUGGGCUGCUGGUCCACAACUGGUGCUGCUAGGCACAGACAAAAUAAUUUAUUAUAAAGUGCCAUGCCUCCUUAAAACCAAUCUUUACAAUGGUGCCCACAAGAAAGGAGAUAUAAGAUGGGGUAGCUUUGAUCUUCCAUCCUCUGGGCUACCUUUAAGUAUCCUAUCUCACUUCUCCUGUAAACACUUCAGCAUAGACACACUGUAUAUUUAACACCAGUGGGGGUGGUGCUGUAUAAGUAUUCAAAUUAAGGUACAUUACAGUAAAUCUAAAGACUGAUGAUGAUUAUUGGGAAGUGGGAAGAGACAUGCAUGUCUUUGUUCUAGAGAUUUCUAUUUAAUGAUACCUGGCUUUCAGAGUAACUACUCAACUCCUGAACCAUGCAUAAAAGGUUUCCCCUACACAAGUUUUUUGAUCUUAUUCUUUGCAUACAAAUAAACUAAAAUGUCUACAAAAGUCCUCUAGGCUGUUAUUUACAAGGUUAAAUGCUAGGUUCAGGCAAUAGGCUUGAGUAGUCCUGCAGGGUAAUACAGUAGGCCAAUCUUAGAAGUUGUCUAUUUCUUAGUGGGUUGAUUAAUAGUUUUUUCCAUAUAAUGGAUUCUCACAGCAGAGUGCAGCUAAAUCUAGUGAAGGUGAGCCUAGAGUCACAGCUAACUGAAGCAAAAUCUAAAAAGUCAGCAUCCUCACUAAUAUCUGGCAGCACACACAAAAAAAGCAAAGCUAUUUAUAUGAAAAAAAAUUAUAUAUAUUAGCUUAAGACCCCAUUGUGGGCCUAAGACUACUGGACAUGCAGCAUUUUAGUGCAAAUAAAUUCUUGUUCCUUAUGUGGAAAUAUUCUCACAUGCCUGAAUAUAUUUAACAUCACAGACUCAAAGCAAGAGAAGUGAAUGAACUGU